rnacentral:rRNA from 1 species
GAUGAACGCUGGCGGCGUGCCUAAUACAUGCAAGUCGAGCGAACGGACGAGAAGCUUGCUUCUCUGAUGUUAGCGGCGGACGGGUGAGUAACACGUGGAUAACCUACCUCUAAGACUGGGAUAACUUCGGGAAACCGUAGCUAAUACCGGAUAAUAUUUUGAACCGCAUGGUUCAAAAGUGAAAGACGGUCUUGCUGUCACUUAUAGAUGGAUCCGCGCUGCAUUAGCUAGUUGGUAAGGUAACGGCUUACCAAGGCAACGAUGCAUAGCCGACCUGAGAGGGUGAUCGGCCACACUGGAACUGAGACACGGUCCAGACUCCUACGGGAGGCAGCAGUAGGGAAUAUUCCGCAAUGGGCGAAAGCCUGACGGAGCAACGCCGCGUGAGUGAUGAAGGCCUUCGGAUCGUAAAACUCUGUUAUUAGGGAAGAACAUAUGUGUAAGUAACUGUGCACAUCUUGACGGUACCUAAUCAGAAAGCCACGGCUAACUACGUG